AUAAUUUCAAUAUUAAUUUAUCGAUAUUUAAAAAAAAAAUUUCUCACAUACGACCAACAUAAUAAUUUAUUUAGAGCAUUUAAAAUAAUUUAACAAUAACUCAAUCGGAUCAAAUAUUCUAAUAUUACAAAUUCAUAACUGAUUAUCCGAGAAGAAUUUAAGCGAACCAAUACCACCAAAAUUCUAGAAAUAAUACGACAAAGAUUUUAUCCAUCGGCAUGCAAAUCGAGGCGUUGCCUACGCAGUAGCUGAAAAAUUCAAUGUCGCUGAAAUUACGAUCCAAGACCAUCUAAUUGAAGCUCUCGACGCGAGGAGUCCGAAUAUGCAAUUAUUUCCAUCUAACUACCGUUUUUUCCAAAAAAUGCCAAGGAAGUUGCUACUCCAGCGAAGCUUCUUCUCAAUUUUUCGGCGUUGUCAGCUGUAAUGGGGGCCUACAAUGGACUAUUUAGAGCUUGAGCAAGCUAAUGGUAGCAACCUUACACAACCACAACACCUGCAGUAGCCCCUAUAAGAAAGGUAGCCUAUACUCCUUUUUCUUCAGUUUUUCGGCAAUAAUGACUGCCUCAAAGCUAAUUGCAGCAGAUCUAGGGCGAAGGAGGACUGGGAAAAUGGGUUGGCCGGUUAAAAAUCAAAUAAAUGGGGGAUGGUGGAACUGGUUAGCAUGGGAGGUGUGAGGGAAAGGAAGUGGGUGUAUGGGGGAAGAAGGGAAAUGGGAAGAAAAGGGAAAAUAAAUUGGGUUUUUGGGUACAUGUAUAAUAGUUAUAAUAAUAAUUAUUAUUGUAUUUACUUUAUCAUAUAUGCAUGCAUAUAUUUAUUAUUUUCAUAAUUAUAAAGCAGAGUCAUUUUAAUCAUUUGCAAAUAAAGUAUAGUGAAAAUGAUAGAGAUAUAUUUAUAAAGUUGGGUAUCUCAAAUAAGAUUUUUCAAACAUAAAGUCUUUAUAUUAUAUAAUACAUACUCGUAUCAGGUUAAUUAUGGAAUCACGAGGCAUAAAAUAAUUUCUUAUUUAAUUGUGCAUAAAAGAAAUAAAAUUA
rnacentral:lncRNA from 1 species